CUUAAAGGAAGAUAUAAUCCAUAAGGACAACCUCGGUAACAAUUUGUCAUUAGUUCAAAAUAUUUAACUAACUAUAAAACAGCACUAAUCCUUCUUGAUGUAUAAAAAGAUCUCCUUCCGCCUGAUUUGAGCAGAAGAUUCGAAGAAUCCAUCUUGUAUCCACGUACCGACACCAUGAAGUUCGUUACUGUGCUUUUCUGUAUUUUCCUAUUCGUUUUCACCAUAAACGAAGUCAAAUCAAAACCAGCUGGUGAUCUCGGUGGGAUUCUUGGCGGGGUUGGUGAAACCUUGGACAAUGUGACUGGAGGUCUACUUGGAGGUGUAGUCGGAGGACUUCUUGGCAAUAUAUUAGGACAGCCGCAACAACAGCCAGCUCAGCAGCAAUGACUCUCUAUACCCACCUUCAUUAAAAAACUUUUAUUAUUAGUGUAUAUUUUUAUUAAACCUUAUGUCAGUGUCUGGUUGCACUAAAAAAAGAUGUAAUAAAAAAUUAAAUUCUG